UACGUAGGUGGCAAGCGUUGUCCGGAGUUAUUGGGCGUAAAGCGCGCGCAGGCGGUGCGGUAAGUCUCUGGUGAAAGCGCUCGGCUUAACUGGGCGAGGGCCGUGGAGACUGCCGGACUGGAGGGGAGCAGAGGCGAGUGGAAUUCCGGGUGUAGUGGUGAAAUGCGUAGAGAUCCGGAGGAACACCAGUGGCGAAGGCGGCUCGCUGGGCUCAACCUGACGCUGAGGCGCGAAAGCGUGGGGAGCGAACCGG
rnacentral:rRNA from 1 species